UUCCGGUCAUAUCAUUUUGAAACAUCAGAUCCUAUGCAAUCACUGAAGUUAAGCAAGGUCAAGCCUGGUCAGUACCUAGAUGGGUGACCACUUGGGAAUAGCAGGUGCUGUAAG